AGAACGAACGCUGGCGGCAGGCUUAACACAUGCAAGUCGAACGCUCGUAGCAAUACGGGAGUGGCAGACGGGUGAGUAACACGUGGGAACAUCCCCCUCGGUUCGGAAUAACUCAGGGAAACUUGAGCUAAAUACCGGAUACGUCCGAGAGGAGAAAGAUUUAUCGCCGAGGGAUUGGCCCGCGUCUGAUUAGCUAGUUGGUGAGGUAACGGCCCACCAAGGCGACGAUCAGUAGCUGGUCUGAGAGGAUGACCAGCCACACUGGGACUGAGACACGGCCCAGACUCCUACGGGAGGCAGCAGUGGGGAAUCUUGGACAAUGGGCGCAAGCCUGAUCCAGCCAUGCCGCGUGAGUGAUGAAGGCCUUAGGGUUGUAAAGCUCUUUCGACGGGGACGAUAAUGACGGUACCCGUAGAAGAAGCCCGGCUAACUUCGCGCCAGCAGCCGC
rnacentral:rRNA from 1 species